AGGCCCAAUUGCGGCGGUCCUACUCGUUGUUGCUUCAAGAGAUUGGGACGAAGCUUAAAGUACUAUUGCAACUGCUUGCAUCCUUGUCGCCUGCAAAGUGGACGACGCACCACACUUUCUGAGUGAUGUUGCUUUUGUGGCAUAUGAGAUAGCACACAAGUUUAAUCCGUCUGCCUUAGAGAGUAUCAGACAAAGAGAAUUUUUCAGAAAGCAAAAGGAGUUGAUUGUAGUGGCGGAGAAAGCUCUAUUGACAACAAUUGACUUUGAUCUUGACAUUCAGCUUACAUACAAGACACUUGUUGUGGUUCUAAAGAGAUUAAAUAUCCCUGACCUCGCUAAGGUUGCUAAGGUGGCAUGGCAUCUUAUUGAUCAGUGGCUUCAAACAUCACUGUGCCUGCAGUACAAGCCCCAUUACAUUGCUGCUGGUUCAAUUGCUCUUGUUGCUAGAAUUCUAGAAGUCAAACUACCUACAGAGAAGGGAAAAAUUUGGUGGUUGGAGAUUGAUGUGGCGCCGGAACAAUUAGAUGGUUGGUUGCAAUUCCCUGCUCCGUUUCUUUUUUUGUUUUGUUUUGUUUUUUUUUUCUUGAUUUAUGUAUGAUGCAUCUAUUGAAGUCAUUUGCUGAGUGUUAGACUGGAUUCAUGAGUUUAUUGUUCACAGAUUUCCCUCUUCAACUCCUCCCUUCUUAUUGUAUAUUGGUGUUGGGUGUUUGCUUCAUUUAAGGUAUAUAACUUAUCUCUCAUUUCUUGAAGAGGUCAUUAAGUGGAUGCAUAGUAAAUUGGAGCCUUUACCAUCCAAAAGUACGACAAUCAAUCAUUCUGAACUUUGUCUAGACAUACCCCCUUGGUCAAGGAGAGAGGAUUAGGAGAGUCUGUUAUGUCUAUUAACUGCCAAAAUCUUGCAGAAGGUUACAACUAUGCUACUACGAAGGAAGCUUUACCACCAUCUCAGGUAAGUGAUAGUGGUCCUGAGAUUAAAGCAGUAAGAUGGGAAUUUGAUAGUCAGAACUCAUUAUGCAAGAGUUUAAAGAUGCAUUGAAGAGAAGAAGAGA